rnacentral:tRNA from 1 species
AAGGUUUUAAGUUAAGUACAAACUAAUAACCUUCAAAGUUAUUAAUAAAGAUAAAAUUCCUCUUUAAGCCUUA